UGAACGCUGGCGGCGUGCCUAAUACAUGCAAGUCGCGCGAACGGACGAGAAGCUUGCUUCUCUGAUGUUAGCGGCGGACGGGUGAGUAACACGUGGAUAGCCUACCUAUAAGACUGGGAUAACUUCGGGAAACCGGAGCUAAUACCGGAUAAUAUUUUGAACCGCAUGGUUCAAAAGUGAAAGACGGUCUUGCUGUCACUUAUAGAUGGAUCCGCGCUGCAUUAGCUAGUUGGUAAGGUAACGGCUUACCAAGGCAACGAUGCAUAGCCGACCUGAGAGGGUGAUCGGCCACACUGGAACUGAGACACGGUCCAGACUCCUACGGGAGGCAGCAGUAGGGAAUCUUCCGCAAUGGGCGAAAGCCUGACGGAGCAACGCCGCGUGAGUGAUGAAGGUCUUCGGAUCGUAAAACUCUGUUAUUAGGGAAGAACAUAUGUGUAAGUAACUGUGCACAUCUUGACGGUACCUAAUCAGAAAGCCACGGCUAACUACGUG
rnacentral:rRNA from 1 species